rnacentral:rRNA from 1 species
UACGUAGGGUGCGAGCGUUAAUCGGAAUUACUGGGCGUAAAGCGUGCGUAGGCGGUCCGCGAAGUCUGAUGUGAAAGCCCCGGGCUCAACCUGGGAACUGCAUUGGAAACUAACGGGCUCGAGUGUGGCAGAGGGGGGUGGAAUUCCACGUGUAGCAGUGAAAUGCGUAGAGAUGUGGAGGAACACCGAUGGCGAAGGCAGCCCCCUGGGCUAACACUGACGCUCAGGCACGAAAGCGUGGGGAGCAAACAGG